rnacentral:misc_RNA from 1 species
AAGCUGGCCAAGACCUCUCUG